GACAAACAUAUGAUCUUCUGUAACAGAUAGUUUCGUUACAGAGACAACACACCACAUAAGAGAGCUUUUCUCCCAUAUUUAAUUCACAGAGCCUUUCUCCCAUAUCUAAUUCUCAGGUCAUGAAAAUGAAAUGUUACAAAGCUGUAAUGUAGAACACAAAAAGCCAAAAAUCCAGAAGAAAAAAAUAAAACAUAAAAUAAAUUGAACCCAAGCUACUUAAAUAAUAAGAAAAACGAUUUUUUUUUAGAGAGAGAGAUAUUCAUCUAGUCUGCCUUAAGUUGCUUCAUGUGAGAGCAUCCGCUAACACUCUUGUAGUCAAGCUGACUCAACUCGCUAAGCUUGCCAAGUUUUGUUUCAUAGUUUUGGAUUAGAUCAAACCUAUAAAGUGUAAGAAGAAGCAUAUAUAUAAAUAUAAAAGAAACUGAAUAUGAUUUAAAAAUUCAAAAUACUAGAAGCAAACCAGUAGGCUAAAGACUGGAAUGGAGAUUGUGCUGCUGUCUCUAGCGUCUCUUUCGAACAUUCCACAUUUACAUGCACCUCCAAACACAACAUUAGAUUAGAUUAAUCAAUGAAAUAUAUAACUUAUAAACAGAAUUAAAAAAUAUAUAUAUAUAUAUAAAGAUAUAAAAUUUCCACUUGUUUCUUUCGUUGCUUCGACUACUCGUUUCCUUUUUUUUAUUAGUUUGACUACUAACGGUUCCGUCAGCUAGCUUAGAUUGCAAUAUGCAGAGGCUAGAAGCCAUACCUAGUGUCCUCUCCCAAGUAAUGUUAGACAACAAGAUGGAUUUCACCAUAUCUUCAAAGAGAAAGGGCGAGCGGAAAAUUCGACCGAAACCAUACUUCUUUGCAUCCUCAUGAAGUUGUUGGAACUCGGUCACGUCACGACCGUCCUCAUCUGAUAUUCUCAGCAUCCUUCCCACUUGUUGCAAGAUGAGUUCUUCGUCGACCCUUGAGACAUUGUUGAUGCCGUGAACUUGGAUCACAAGAAAAGAGAGAGUGCGAGGGUGAGAGAUGGUCACACUGACAGAAGAGGAAUUUGAAACGGUCAUAGGUCGAGUUAGUGACUUAGAUUUGGGGUCCCACACGUUUGGAGCCAUCAUGAAGAAGCCAUGGUUACAUACCGCUUUCUCCAUAUCGAAUUUUCUUUCAAACUGUUUUCAUGAUGGCUUCAAACGUGUGGGACCCCAAAUCUAAGUCACUAACGUGUGGGACCCAACACUUUUAUGUGUCAGUGUAGUUAUUUUAGUCAGCCAAGGUGACAUUCCCCUGGACUGAUGUAACUGAAGGAACAGAAGAAGAAGAAGACGAUGAGACGAAGAUGGCACGGAUGGUUUGCUCUUUGACAAACCGUGAAGAUUGUCUCUCUUGCGGUGGAAGCUAAACACACAAAGAAACAAAUAAAAAGUUGAUCAAAACCUAUCUUUACACUCGUCUUUUUUCGUCUUGUAAUCUAGUUCUAUAAGGUUGUCAUGCUAUUCGUGUGUGGAAGGAAUGUGAAGGAGAAGACCACAGUUAAUCUCACAGAAGUUAUCUCCUAAAUGAGGCUUCAUGGAUAUUUCGUUCAGAGUCAAACAGAAUAAAUAUAUCACAUGAUCAACUCCUUGAUUUUAUAAAAAAAAAGAUCCAACACAAGCACACCAGAAACCAAAAGCAUAAUAAAUA